rnacentral:rRNA from 1 species
UGUGCAGGCGGUUCGGUAAGUUGGGCGUGAAAUCUCCUGGCUUAACUGGGAGAGGUCGUUCAAUACUACCGGGCUAGAGAACAGUAGAGGAAGAUGGAAUUCCCGGUGUAGUGGUGAAAUGCGUAGAUAUCGGGAGGAACACCAGUGGCGAAGGCGAUCUUCUGGACUGUUUCUGACGCUCAGACACGAAAGCUAGGGUAGUAAACG